UCUUCCUGAGCCCCUCCGAGCCAAGGCCGGCCCAGCAGGCGCCUGUGCUUCUGUAGUCUCUUCUGCCCUGCCUGCCCGCUCUGGGUUUGGUGUAAUAGAAAGAGAUGUGGAUGAGGAGCCGGGCACUUGGGCCUGGGUGGCUCUGCCACUCCCUAGCACAGCACUGAGCAAGUCAUCCCCCGCUCCAGCAUCGGCUUCCUUUUCCGAGAAAUGGGAACACUUGCAUCUCCGCUACCUACGACACUGAGGUGUCAUGGGGAGAAAAAACCCUAGAUGGGGAAGGCCUUCGGAAGAGGAAGGCAUGCUGGUAAAAAAAACUCAUUCACAUGACAGAGCAACGCUGGUGGUGUUUAGGCAAGCUCCCGAAAGACGCAUGGAAUCUUCUCUUUACGAGGAUCUGGAUGUUGAUGGUGCUUACAGGUGUGUGGGUCCCUGCACCAGGAAGGCUAUGAUGGCAUGCACGGGAGUGAGCGCCACCAACAGCUGGGCACACCCGUGCAGGUCCACCCAGGCAGCGAUGUUGAGCCUGAGGAAAUGCGGCUGCCUUCAAACUUUGAUUAGAACCCCAGGGUCGGCUGCAGUCU
rnacentral:lncRNA from 1 species